CCCCACCACUACCUGAAACCUAUUAAACAACCAUUGAGGCCUAAGGAGACCUUGAGCACAUAAUAACAGGCCCUUUCUGCUCCUUUUAGCUGGGCGUACCUUUGUAGCAUCAGAUGACAUAUAGCUGUCCACCACUACCUGA